GUGUAAUUUAGUGGUAGGAUACCUGCUUGACACGCAUGAGACCCUGGAUUUGAUCCCCAGCAC
rnacentral:tRNA from 1 species